ensembl:miRNA
CAUUGUGAUCUAUUAGGUUGGUGCAAAAGUAAUUGCGAUUUCUGCCAUUACUUUUAAUGGCAAAAGCCGCAAUUACAUUUACACCAACUUAA